rnacentral:sRNA from 1 species
UUCCAUCACAACAACAUUGAGUACAGCCGUGUAGAAGUAAAAAGCUCAUGGAAUAAAAUAAGAUGCAACUAGUAAAAUAAGCAACCAAAUUCAAUUCAAAUUGGAAAUGACAGUACACAACACGUUAACAGCAAAGAAGGAAGUGUACGUAUUCUUCCACAUGUUUAGAACAAUAACUUCACUCUUGGUUCAAGCAUUAAUAAACAAACCAAACCUAUUCAAACUAAACCCCAUUCCAUUAUGCAGACAGAGAAUCCAAACCAGAGUUCUUGCUUGUGGUGGCAGCUAACGCAUUUCUCCUCUCUUGCUCUCCAAACAAAUUGUUUUUUUCUUCAGAGAACUCCAGCCCCUCAGAGUAGUCUCCAGACUCCAAGUAGCAGCCCUCCAACAAAGACGUUCACAGCCAAUAGUUUCAAAACCAAAAACCCAGAGUGUGUGUAGCCGUGAGUUCUGUAACUAAGAGUAGUGUCCAGAACCUCUGAAUGUAACCGAAUGUGUAUAGUCGUUCCUCCUUUUGAGCUUGUAAGUCUCUUCUUUCCAAAAAGGAAAACCCAGCCAGCUAUGAGCCAUCUCUUUCCGUUCAAUCAUGGCCUGCUCUCCACGUCCUCUGCUAAGCUUUUCAGUGAGGAUAAUAUUCCCUUCAGUGGCUGCUCCCGCUUUUUAUCCCUUCAUAUAUUUUGUUGAUCCUUAGUUGUCCAAGGGCCGUGUGUUUUAAUCUUUGCUGCACUGUGGCUUCUCUAAUGAAAGGGGUAAAUCCUCAACUAUCACUCACUUACUUCAAUCUCUCAUGCGCUGCUUCGAGAGUGGUGGCCCUUUUUAUUCAAGCAUUUGUGAUGUUUUGGUGUGUGCCAACGUGGUUGUCAUGGGCCAUGCUAUCACUUUCCAAUCAAUUUCUGAGAGAGCCGUGAACAUCUCCACCUGAUACCAAUUCCAUUCUCCAUUUUGCAGUUUUAACCGAGAGGUACUUCUCAGGUUGGUCCGUGAAGU